UAGGGAAUCUUCGUCAAUGGGGGGAACCCUGACCGAGCAACGCCGCGUGAGUGAAGAAGGUUUUCGGAUCGUAAAGCUCUGUUGUUAAGGAAGAACGAGCGUGAGAAUGGAAAGUUCAUACUGUGACGGUACUUAACCAGAAAGGGACGGCUAACUACGUGCCAGCAGCCGCGGUAAUACGUAGGUUCCGAGCGUUGUCCGGAUUUAUUGGGCGUAAAGCGAGCGCAGGCGGUUAGAUAAGUCUGAAGUUAAAGGCAGUGGCUCAACCAUUGUAGGCUUUGGAGACUGUUUAACUUGAGUGCAGAAGGGGAGAGUGGAAUUCCAUGUGUAGCGGUGAAAUGCGUAGAUAUAUGGAGGAACACCGGUGGCGAAAGCGGCUCUCUGGUCAGUAACUGACGCUGAGGCUCGAAAGCGUGGGAAGCGAACAGG
rnacentral:rRNA from 1 species